AGCAUUUGGACACACAGCAAAAUGCUUAAAUAAUUACAUGAAUAAAAUUGAACACCAGUGGUUCUUCAUGUGACCUGCAGAGCAGCUCUGGGUCAAAUCGCACAAACACUUAAUUAGUUUAAAGUUGAGUGAAAAAAA